UACAGAGGUCUCGAGCGUUGUUCGGAUUCAUUGGGCGUAAAGGGCGCGUAGGCGGCGCGGUAAGUCGGGUGUGAAAUCUUGGAGCUUAACUCCGAAACUGCAUUCGAUACUGCCGUGCUUGAGGACUGGAGAGGAGACUGGAAUUUACGGUGUAGCGGUGAAAUGCGUAGAUAUCGUAAGGAAGACCAGUGGCGAAGGCGGGUCUCUGGACAGUUCCUGACGCUGAGGCACGAAGGCCAGGGGAGCAAACGGG
rnacentral:rRNA from 1 species